AUUAGCUCAGUCGGUAGAGCACACGCCUUUUAAGCGUGGGGUCGUGGGUUCAAAUCCCACAUAU
rnacentral:tRNA from 1 species